UUCUAUGAAGCGUCAGUAACUAAUCUGUAGAUUGUAAUCGGUUAAGUUUAAGAGACUAAGGACUAUGUUGUGCCAAAAUGUGCACAGCAUUAACAAUAUAUGUAAUACUAGCGACCUCGGCAGGCGCAUCACACAGGGCGAGGCAAUCUACACACGAGCGGGGAGUGGACGCGAACCCGGGACCUCUUGCACUAAUCUAUUGCGCCGAUACCGCUGUACAAAAUGCUCCUUUCCAAGGAGCGUAUAUCGGAGUCAUGUCUUCGUGUGUGAUUAUGUCACCUACUAGACGUGCUGCAGGCCACAAUAUGUAAGCAUCUACAGCAAGAUGUGGGCUCAUGCCCACUUGGACCUGACCAGUCGCCUAGCUCAGGAGAUGCCAGAGAUGUCUUCUCUUUUGGAAAAGAACAGGGUGGUGUUUUUCCAGAGGGUGGCCACUCUCUGUGCACACAAUGUCCAGAUCUUCCAGAGGCUGGAGUCAGGGUAUGACCAGAUGGUGCAUCCCCAGAAGAGGAGCAUUCUGCAGCAGGUGCUGGAUGAAGUGAUAGGGUGGUGCUGGAGCUCAAGAACAAGUUGGCGACACCGGUAGACCUUGAGAUCCCUAUCCCCAAAUACUUCAUCAACGAAAGGGCCAAGGUCCUGCAUGAGAGAGGGCAGAUGUUAUCAGCGAUUCUGGACAGGGUGGGGUUGAAGACAAAACCGAAGGCUAAAGCCUGAUCACAAAUAAUAGUUCACCUACUUGAGUCACUUACAUAAAAUGACAUGCCAAAGCCAUUCCAGCAUUCUGAUUGGGCCAUUGUGAACAUGUUUUGGCUUUACAAGGAUAAGAAAUAUAUCUAUAUUCAAAUUGUGGUAUAGCUGAGAACCACUAGAUGGCACUCUUCUACUACAGCUGUUCAGUGUGAUUGCUAACUUUAAACUUCCUCCAGAUAACAAGAUCUUGGUGGAAUUCUAAAGGUUUAACCUUUUUUGACAUUUAGUUAAUAUAUAAAUAGAGGAUACUCCAUGAACGUUUAUUUUGUAUUAACCACAAAUAAGGAUGGAAAGAUAACCGUUGUGCUCCUGCACUCAGCUAAACACAGCACCAUGUACUUUCAUGUAUUCUGUACUGUAUGUACAGUAACAAGUACACUACAUGGUAAAAACAUUACUUUUCUUAUGCCAUACUCCAUAUGCUUUACCCCUAGCUUGGUAAAUAUCCUGGUUCACCUGGAAAGGUAAUCCUAACAUCUUCAAAGUUUUAAAGAUUUGAAUGUCUUGCUGCACUUAAGGCAGCUUGGUAAUUUAAAUUAUUUGCAUUUUUAGUGUGUGCAAAUUAUAUUUAACAACCAUGGGGAUAACAUCUUUAUUCACAUAAUCCUACCUGCCCACACUAGAGAUAGAGAUGCUCCAGAUAAUACUUAUAGAUGGAAAACUUCGUUGUAUUUCUGGAAGGAAAUAGGGCAUUAGGGCAGCAGUGUGGAGUAGUGGUUAGGGCUCUGGACUCUUGACCGGAGGGUUGUGGGUUCAAUCCCUGGUAGGGGACACUGCUGCUGUACCCCUGAGCAAGGUACUUUACCUAGAUUGCUCCAGUAGAAACCCAACUGUAUAAAUGGGUAAUUGUAUGUAAAAAUAAUGUGAUAUCUUGUAACAAUUGUAAGUCGCCCUGGAUAAGGGCGUCUGCUAAGAAAUAAAUAAUAAUAAUAAUAAGGAGAAUCCGCCCACUAAUCAACACAUCAUAUCCAAGCGCAAUAAAAACUCUGUGUGGCUUUCAUUCAUAUUGCUUCUUUUGUUUGGCCUCUCAGUCACACAAGGCCAGGCCAGGCCAAACAGGGAUACGGCCAUCUAUAGAGCCUGGAGGAAGGGUUACCCUCAGCCAUGGAUUCCCUAAAGUUUCCUCCUACCACUUAAUUUGUUUUUUUUUCCUUACCUGAGUGCCGAGCGGUCCGUAUUUAGUUUCUGCAGGGUGCGUGGCAGGCUGGAGAGGCCGGGUUCUCCCUCAGUGCAUUUCAUGCACUGGGGGGCGGGCCCGUGUCUCAGCUGCUUACUUUUCAUUCAUCAUUACGUCCUCUGCUAUUCCUAAUCUACAUUAGUGACUUAGAUUCUGGUAUAGUAAGCAAACUUGUUACAUUUGACACAAAAAUAGGAGGAGUGGCAAACACUGUUGCAGCAGCAAAGGUCAUUCAAAAUGAUCUAGACAGCAUUCAGAACUGGGCAGACAAAUGGGAAAUGACAUUUAAUAGAGAAAAGUGUAAGGGACUGCACGCAGGCAAUAAAAAUGUGCAUUAUAAAUAUCAUAUGAGAGAUACUGAAAUUGAAGAAGGAAUCUAUGAAAAAGAUCUAUGAGUUUAUGUUGACUCAAAAAUGUCUUCAUCUAGACAAUGUGGGGAAGCUAUAAAAAAGGCCAGAAAGAUGCUCGGAUAGUGUUAAAUUUAAAUCAAGGGAAAUUUUUCUGAUGUCUAGAAAGUGGAUACUUAGCAGACCCUGAACAAUAGGAAAUCAGUAUCUGUUCUCCUCCAUCUACAUAAUAUCAUGACUACCAUAGUUUCUCUCAUUCAACAAAUGUUUCAGCAUGCCUGCUGCAUUAAUAACUCAAAUGUGAAGAAAAAAAAACUACACAGAAAAAUGUUAAAGAGAGAAAUCAGUUGGGAUUAUGUUUAUUUAUCUGCAUUUAAGCAAUAAAAAAAAGUAAAUUAAAAAUUCAUAUAUAUAUAAUUGAGGCCAGAUCUAAACCUGUCCUUGUUCAUGUUCUAUCCAAAUGAAGAGUAUCCCAAAAUAGUAAAUGAGCCAAGUCAAAUUAUCUCAUAUUUUAAGGUCCUGUAUAUUGGGACUGCUCAGAAUACUGAUUGACCAGUCAGCAAUUUUCUUUCAUCAAUUUUAUAAUCUGUAAGUGUGGAGCACUCUAAAAUAAAUGACGUUUGAUACUAAUUGCUCCAGUGAUG